rnacentral:sRNA from 1 species
AUGAAAUCUGGGUGUGACAUCUAUCACCCCACUGAUUGCCAGUUGACCCCACUGAUCACCGUUGAUUCAGCUGAUCUGGCUAGAUGGGUGUUUCCUUCCUCCUUCAUUCCAUAUGAGUACCUAUUGAAGCUGUAUGUUUGGUUGAAGAGAACAGCCAUCCCUGAUAAAGGAGGACCGCAGCUGAAUUAUUCCAGAUGUAUAAAAAGAGCUGGUAGUGGGGCUGGGCGCGGUGGCUCACGACUGUAAUC